rnacentral:rRNA from 1 species
AUUGAACGCUGGCGGCAGGCUUAACACAUGCAAGUCGAGCGGAGAUGAGGUGCUUGCACCUUAUCUUAGCGGCGGACGGGUGAGUAAUGCUUAGGAAUCUGCCUAUUAGUGGGGGACAACAUUCCGAAAGGAAUGCUAAUACCGCAUACGUCCUACGGGAGAAAGCAGGGGAUCUUCGGACCUUGCGCUAAUAGAUGAGCCUAAGUCGGAUUAGCUAGUUGGUGGGGUAAAGGCCUACCAAGGGGACGAUCUGUAGCGGGUCUGAGAGGAUGGUCCGCCACACUGGGACUGAGACACGGCCCAGACUCCUACGGGAGGCAGCAGUGGGGAAUAUUGGACAAUGGGGGGAACCCUGAUCCAGCCAUGCCGCGUGUGUGAAGAAGGCCUUAUGGUUGUAAAGCACUUUAAGCGAGGAGGAGGCUACUGAGACUAAUACUCUUGGAUAGUGGACGUUACUCGCAGAAUAAGCACCGGCUAACUCUGUGCCAGCCGCCGCGGUAAGAC